GUUUAAAUGUUUUGAUUGACUGCUUGAUGGUCGUGUAGAGAUGGCAUGGGGCUAGUGUCAAUACUCAUGUCAGCUUAUUACUUGUUAAUUAAUGUAUAGCUGGUGCUUGGUGGUCAACUGGCUUUUGAGAGUCUUGGUUUUGGGUGCCUGUGUUAGGACAGGCAGAAGGCAUAUCUAAAUGGGCUGGGAGCUUACAUUUUGUUGAUUAACUCUGAAACAAUCAGUUAUGCUCUCUCCCCCCUCCCUACUCCUCCUCUAUUGAUUUGGUGUUAUACAAUUUCUUUGUUGUGGCAGAUAUGUGCAUGGGGAUGUAAAAC
rnacentral:misc_RNA from 1 species